CAAGCACUACACGGGAGAGGCUGGCCUAGUCCUCCAGAGUAGCUGAAGUCUGCCAGACGAGCUUGUGUGUGUUAGCUGCCGACGCCUUCUGUAUCUUUGUGUGAGAUAAAAAAUGUUUACAAUUAUGAGACCAGCGGUGAGAGUGUGGGGGGUGGCAUCAAGCACUCCUCCACCAUCUACGCGGAGGUCUUUCUACUUGGCGAGGACAUUAGGCUCGUAUAACAGUAUCCCGUCCUUCCCGCCCACUUCUACAUCAUUAUCAAGCGUGGAUGUGAGGGAGCUGAGCGAGAAGGCCAGAUGGUUGGGGCCGCUAAACCUCAAUUCUCGCCUGUACUUCGAGGCACACAAGGUGGGCGUAAAACACUCUAGUAUGUUGAACAACAUAAUCACGGCACGACCUAUCCACCACCAGAACAUGAUCGAUACCCUCUUUCAUCUCUGCAAGUGAGUAUUUGUUGCUUUUGAAUAAUCGAAAAACUAUUGAAAUUUUUAUACAGUCUAUUUAACAACGUAGCAUGUACAAUAUUGACAAAGGGCUUAUUAUCAUGGAGCGUACAGGCCGUGUCCCCCUUAACGUCGAGAUGCCUUCAGUGUGGCAGUAAGAAUUACGAUAAGAGCUUAUUAAUUAAGUGUCCUUCAGGUUAUAUGCAUGUCUCCACUUACCUCCAUGACCUUUAACCACCUUGGCCACUUAAGAGAGUCAUUCACACACAUAAAUAGACGUACAGGACAGUUGGUUGACAGUUAAUGAUCAUCUUACCAAAGAUCAGCUUCCCCAAUCACGUUAACUAACCAUUAACCCAUGUCGUUCAGACCUAAAGAAGCCACCAGUCAUAUUAUAGAUCUUAAUGAGCAAGAGCGAACACCCCGUCAAUCUUUGAUGAAGAUAACAGUUUCUGGCCAAACUUACGCUCCUCUCUGUCAACUAUCUCCACCUGAGUUGUUCGAGAUGAUGAAUGUACGCUUCACUUCGACGCACAAAUGUGAAAAGUACUGGUACACGCUGUCAUCCCGGUCAGAUUACCAUUACCAUAAUUAUACAUGAGAAAAUCACCAUCUUCACUUAAUUAUUCACAUCACCUAAACUCACAGGAAUUCCCUUACAAUUCACAGCCACAGCAUUCGGUUGUCUCUAAUCAUAGAAUAGGUUAUAUUUUGACCUAAUGGCACUAAUGGCUGGAAUAGUUAUAUCCUGUAGGAGGAGGGUAGGAAAUAGAUGAUUGUCAUUCCUAACUCAGACGGAAGCAGAGGUUUCUAUCAGAACACUUGGGAACUUAAGUAGUAACAGACAUCAUUCACCUUGACGCUCCUUGGAUCAUUAUUGUGUGUAUAAAGUAGUAUUUUUAUGUUCU